UUAUUACAGAGUUUUUGAUGUCGCAGGUACUGCAUCAGGAAAUGACUGGAUAAAUAUCUGUCACCAUCAGCUCUAAUGCAUUGCCUUCAGCAUCUAAACAA
rnacentral:pre_miRNA from 1 species